UGUAUGAUGCAAGCUACCCAAAAACUCGGGAAGAUCAGAAAUGCUCAAGCUUCAAUGAAAUUUUUGAUUUUGCUUACAACUAUCUUAGUGGUACAGUACCAAAGGAAUGGGCUUCAAGCUUGCAGUGAUUUUGCUUACAACUAUCUUGGGAGAUGGAGCAAAUUGUAUUCUUUUUUAUUAUCAUGUAAAGCUCAUGAAACUUGAAAGCCUGUUAAGCUAAUGAAAUAGAUAUAGGCACUUGGGCAAGGUUAAUUCUUGUGUAAAUGUUGGGAUGAAUACUGCUGAUGGAAUGAAAUGGUUUUUGGAAUCAA